rnacentral:lncRNA from 1 species
UAGAAAUAUAUUGGUGCUUUAUUGAUAAAUACACAUCGUCUCAUUUCCCAUCAAGUGGAGUAAGAAACACUGAAUAAUCAAAGGUUUCUAAAAGCUACAAACUGUCUCUUUUUGUUCAAGCCAGUUUUACAUUCACAGUAGAAACAAUGAGAGAAUGAAUGAAUGAAUGAACGGACGUACCGACGGACCGACAAACAAACUAAAGAACGAAUGAACAAACUGAAGAACGAAUUAUCAAAAUAAUUAUACAAAAAUAAGAAUAAAAACAUGAAUUAACGAAGAAACAAAACAAUAAAUGAAUGAAUGAACGGACGUACUUACGUAAAGACUGACAAACGAAAGAACAAAUAAACAAACAGAGGAACUAACGAAUGAUGAAUGAAUGAACAAACAAUACAUGAAGGAAUAUAUGAACAAAUUAACAAAAUCAUUCUUUUAAAAAAUGAAAAAAUAUGAAUGAAUUAACAAACAAAUAAUACAUGAAUGAUUUUAAAAUACCAAUGAAUGAAAACAUGAAUUAAUUCUGUGCCAUACAGAUCAGUGACGGUAGUAGACUAUGUAGCAGAGUGUUUAAUGGUGCAGUACAUUAUGAGGUGUCUACAGUAGUAGACUAUGUAGCAGAGUGUUUAACGGUGCAGUACAUUAUGAGGUGUCUACAGUAGUAGACUAUGUAGCAGAGUGUUUCACGGUGCAGUACAUUAUGAGGUGUCUACGGUAGUAGACUAUGUAGCAGAGUGUUUCACGGUGCAGUACAUUAUGAGGUGUCUACGGUAGUAGACUAUGUAGCAGAGUGUUUAACGGUGCAGUACAUUAUGAGGUGUCUACGGUAGUAGACUAUGUAGCAGAGUGUUUAACGGUGCAGUACAUUAUGAGGUGUCUACAGUAGUAGACUAUGUAGCAGAGUGUUUCAUGGUGCAGUACAUUAUGAGGUGUCUACAGUAGUAGACUAUGUAGCAGAGUGUUUAACGGUGCAGUACAUUAUCAGGUGUCUACAGUAGUAGACUAUGUAGCAGAGUGUUUAAUGGUGCAGUACAAUAUGAGGUGUCUACAGCUGUUGGGUCAGUGUCUGGGUGGUUACUAGCAUCAGAGUCUUUACUGAAGGAAACAGUAACAUAGUGGAGACAGGCUGGAUCUCUG